rnacentral:tRNA from 1 species
GGGAAUGUAGCUUAGUGGUAGAGUGCUUGCCUAGUAUGCACGAAGCCAUGGGUUCGAAUCCUUAGUACCA